rnacentral:rRNA from 1 species
UGCAAGUCGAGCGCACCCUUCGGGGUGAGCGGCGGACGGGUGAGUAACGCGUGGGAACGUACCCUUUAGUACGGAAUAGCCUCGGGAAACUGAGAGUAAUACCGUAUACGCCCUUCGGGGGAAAGAUUUAUCGCUAAAGGAUCGGCCCGCGUUGGAUUAGGUAGUUGGUGGGGUAAUGGCCCACCAAGCCGACGAUCCAUAGCUGGUUUGAGAGGAUGAUCAGCCACACUGGGACUGAGACACGGCCCAG